GUGUCUUCCUCUCUCUCUGCCCCUCCCCUACUUCUGCUCUGUCUCUGUCUCUCUCUCAAAAACAAAUAAAUAAAAAAAUAAACAAACAUUAUAAAAUUAAAAAAAAAAAAAAAAGAACCACACCAGAAAGGCAGUGACAAAGCAGGAUUGGAAAGAAGAAAGAGUUGAAUUAUGAUGAUUAAGUUGCAAAAAAGACCUCAAAUAACAGGGACAGUGGGAGUUCUGAGGUUGAGAUACCUCUCUGGAUAUGUCCAUAAUUGAAGGGAGACAACUGUACCCUUGCCUUAAACAGUAAUCUUUCCCUAUCUCUGCUAUGGGAUCUUCUAUAAUGUUUAUUAUCCUGGUAUCACUUGUGUGGAGUCCUCCAAGAAACAAACAUCAAGACGGGAUUAGCCACGAGAAAGAUGUAAUAUGGCAAUGUCUGUAAAAAAUAAAUAAAUAAACAAAUAAAUAAAUAAAUAAAUAAAUAAAUAAUGGGAAAGGUAUAAAGAGGAGAUAGAGUUAUCAGACUCUGAUGAAGAUGUAAUAGCAGGUAAAGAAGAGAGAGAGGCCAAAGGAAGAAGUAUCUCAGACACUGCAACUCUGGUAGACUUUGACAAAGCUGUUAGGGAGUCUUUAAGCCAAAGUUGCUUGUCAGAGGAGUCCUGCAACUCUCAGGAAUGGGGCUUCCUUAGGAUUCAUUACAUGCUCAAUUGCUGGCUGGGGAUAGUCCAAGGGAAGCAUGGGCUUAAUUUCAGAGCUCUUACAACUAAAUCUCCCUGCAGUCAGAGUUCUGACAGGCAUAUUCUUAUAAUUGGAAUAAUGAGGUACUAGAGUUGCUGCUACAAAAUGGGGGCAUGAAGGAACGUGUCUGGAGUGUCAGAAAUUCACUGAGAUAUCUCUUAGUACUUCUAUACUUCUGAUGAAAGUAAAUGAGCUUUUGCAGUGAUCAUGAACUAAGAAAAAGUAACUGAAAUGACUGUGUCAUCCUACUAGGUAAUGCAAUUAAAACAAUAGAAAUGCUAAGUUAAUGGUCUCUAAAAUAGGAGAUAGAGAAAAAUAUUAAGUAUCAGUUAUAGUCUCUCUUUGUAGCAGCAGAUAGAUUUCACUAACCCUCUAAUUUCAUAUAUUUUAUUUUUGACAUCAAAGACAGCCACCAUUUUGAAAUGCCAAUCAAUACUGAGCAAUGCAAGAGAUAGAUAUUAGUGGAUUCUAUUCGAUAGGGCACUCCACCUUCCCUUGACUAACCUCUGAGUUCAUCUGAAAUGGCAGAGACUAAAUACUGUGCUUCCCUAUCCUUCAGUGAGACAAUCUUGAGGCACAUCCAACAUAGUUUUGCAGAGGGUACCCAGCAGAAUUGACUCGCAAUAACCCACUCAUUAACACAUUCUAUAUUAGCUUUUUCUUUCCUCUAAUAUUGCUUUCCCUCAUUUUUAUUUCUUUGAAUCACCUACAAAUAAAGUACCUGAAUUCAAGUUUUUAUCUCAUGAUUGCUUUCAGGAGAACACUAAAUUGAGAGAAUAAGAAAAUAGUCAAUUUUUCCUAGAUAUUAGGAAAUUCCUUAAAUAACAUUUGCUAUUUUAGUCCUAGAAAUUUUUUAUAACAUUUCAGAAAUAUAGCUGGAAAACUAUAAUUGUUCAAUAUUAUGAUGAUCGCAGAAUAUUAAUAAGAAAAUAAUCUCCUAUAGGUAAGAUAACAAUUUAACCUCAUGAUUUUAUUAUAGCUGGAAACAGAGAGAAGGUUAUUUUUCAUUCUUAAUUUAAUAGUUGUUUUGGUAAUUGUGAGAAUACUUGGUCCCCAAAACCUAAAUCAUUUGAAUCUAUUCUCUUCUGAUCAGAAUAGGUUAAAUAGAUUCAUAGGAACAUGUAGAUUUGGUUCUUUGAUUAAAGAAAAAAAACUUCUUGGGGUGCCUGGGUGGCUCACUUAGCUAAGUGUCUGACUCUUGAUUUCAGCUCAAGUCAUGAUUUCAAGGUUCAUGGAAUCGAGACCCACACAAAGUUUGCUUGGUAUUCUCUCUCCCUCUCUCUUUGUACCCUCCCAAAAGAAACAAACUUUUUUAAAAACUUCAUAUAAUAAACAUGUUGAAAUAUGUUUAUGAAACUACUUAGGCAUUAUAAAAUGCAUUUAAUAAAAUAAAUUGUCUCAGUAGGUUAUUCAGUUGUUCAUAUGCUAACUAGAAGGAAGGUAAAACAAAGUCAUAAGUGAAGGAGAAAACAGCAAAAUAUUGCUUCCUUUUUUCUGUUGUAUUUUAAAGUAGAGAUUGAGAAAUAGGGUAUUGGAAUAUGGUUCAUUACAUAGAAUGCUUUAGUGGCAGUGUUGCAGCUAACAAAGAAAAGACUGUUUUCCAACGCCUUUUCAUAAAGCUGUUAAUGAUGUUUAUAUUGGUGCUUAUUCCUGAUAAAGUAGACAACUAAUUUUGCUUUGUUUUGUUUUGAAGGGAAAGGAGAAUUGCUGUCUGAAUGACUCCCAAAGUUUCAUAACCAACAAAUGCCUACUUUGUGAAUUCAAAUUCUAUUUUCAUUAAGUAGAAUCAAGUAUGGUUAAAGUUUGGAACAUAAUGAACCUUUAAUAACUUUCUUUUUUCUGUAUUUAUUUUUGUGACUUAUAAUCACUUGAAAAAUAUCAUUCAUUAAAGAAUCUGAUCAUUGUCAUAGUAAGUUAAUUUGUACUAUAAAGUAUGAAAAUGCAUGUUCUCAGACCCAACUAGCCAGACAUGAAGGAAGAACCUACCUACAGCCUAUUGUACCCAGAAGGACAUUACCAGAAGACAAACCAUAAAUGUAACCCCCGGGAAUGAAUUAACUAGACUAAAGAAAUGCCUUCAAAUUCCAAUUUUUUUUUCAGAGAAAGCAAAUAUCUAAGUUUCCACAUAAAAAGUUUCAAAAGUCAAACAUUCUACUGACUUCUUUCAGAAAACCCGGAUUCUGAGUUUUAGGAGACAUACACUGAAACGGAAGCUCUAAAAGGGCGGUGGUCUUCUAAUCUAUCUCUAUGACGCUCAGGACAAUGGUUGGCACUUUACAUAUAACAGGGUACAGAGAAAACAGAAGCUCAGAUACAUGCCUUGUCCAAUUUCACAGAGCUAAUCCAUGGCAGAACCUGAUAUGAAACAAGCUGUAUAAAUGGAAGGAAGACAAUGCAUGACUCUCCUUCAGCAUCAAGCUUACAUCCAUUGCGAGUUAUUCACAUAUUAAAAUUUAAGGCUGUCUGUGAGACUUUGUGCAACUAUGAUAGGGUAGCACACAGGCAGCAACUUCUUUGACAUUGGCUGUAGCAAUUUCUUACUAGGC